rnacentral:rRNA from 1 species
AUUGAACGCUGGCGGAAUGCUUUACACAGGCAAGUCGAACGGCAGCACGGACUUCGGUCUGGUGGCGAGUGGCGAACGGGUGAGUAAUGUAUCGGAACGUGCCCAGUCGUGGGGGAUAACGUAGUGAAAAUUACGCUAAUACCGCAUACGAUCUAUGGAUGAAAGCGGGGGAUCGCAAGACCUCGCGCGAUUGGAGCGGCCUAUAUCAGAUUAGGUAGUUGGUGGGGUAAAGGCCCACCAAGCCAACGAUCUGUAGCUGGUCGGAGAGGACGACCAGCCACACUGGAACUGAGACACGGUCCAGACUCCUACGGGAGGCAGCAGUGGGGAAUUUUGGACAAUGGGCGAAAGCCUGAUCCAGCCAUUCCGCGUGCAGGAUGAAGGCCCUCGGGUUGUAAACUGCUUUUGUACAGAACGAAAAGGUUUCUACUAAUACUAGGAGCUCAUGACGGUACCGUAAGAAUAAGCACCGGCUAACUACGUGCCAGCAGCCGCGGUAA